rnacentral:rRNA from 1 species
GACGAACGCUGGCGGCGUGCUUAACACAUGCAAGUCGAACGGAAAGGCCCUGCUUUUGUGGGGUGCUCGAGUGGCGAACGGGUGAGUAACACGUGAGUAACCUGCCCUUGACUUUGGGAUAACUUCAGGAAACUGGGGCUAAUACCGGAUAGGAGCUCCUGCUGCAUGGUGGGGGUUGGAAAGUUUCGGCGGUUGGGGAUGGACUCGCGGCUUAUCAGCUUGUUGGUGGGGUAGUGGCUUACCAAGGCUUUGACGGGUAGCCGGCCUGAGAGGGUGACCGGCCACAUUGGGACUGAGAUACGGCCCAGACUCCUACGGGAGGCAGCAGUGGGGAAUAUUGCACAAUGGGCGGAAGCCUGAUGCAGCAACGCCGCGUGCGGGAUGACGGCCUUCGGGUUGUAAACCGCUUUCGCCUGUGACGAAGCGUGAGUGACGGUAAUGGGUAAAGAAGCACCGGCUAACUACGUGCCAGCAGCCGCGGUGAUACGUAGGGUGCGAGCGUUGUCCGGAUUUAUUGGGCGUAAAGGGCUCGUAGGUGGUUGAUCGCGUCGGAAGUGUAAUCUUGGGGCUUAACCCUGAGCGUGCUUUCGAUACGGGUUGACUUGAGGAAGGUAGGGGAGAAUGGAAUUCCUGGUGGAGCGGUGGAAUGCGCAGAUAUCAGGAGGAACACCAGUGGCGAAGGCGGUUCUCUGGGCCUUUCCUGACGCUGAGGAGCGAAAGCGUGGGGAGCGAACAGGCUUAGAUACCCUGGUAGUCCACGCUGUAAACGGUGGGUACUAGGUGUGGGGUCCAUUCCACGGGUUCCGUGCCGUAGCUAACGCUUUAAGUACCCCGCCUGGGGAGUACGGCCGCAAGGCUAAAACUCAAAGGAAUUGACGGGGCCCCGCACAAGCGGCGGAGCAUGCGGAUUAAUUCGAUGCAACGCGUAGAACCUUACCUGGGUUUGACAUGGAUCGGGAGUGCUCAGAGAUGGGUGUGCCUCUUUUGGGGUCGGUUCACAGGUGGUGCAUGGCUGUCGCCAGCUCGUGUCGUGAGAUGUUGGGUUAAGUCCCGCAACGAGCGCAACCCUUGUUCACUGUUGCCAGCACGUUAUGGUGGGGACUCAGUGUAGACCGCCGGGGUCAACUCGGAGGAAGGUGGGGAUGACGUCAAGUCAUCAUGCCCCUUAUGUCCAGGGCUUCACGCAUGCUACAAUGGCUGGUACAGAGAGUGGCGAGCCUGUGAGGGUGAGCGAAUCUCGGAAAGCCGGUCUCAGUUCGGAUUGGGGUCUGCAACUCGACCUCAUGAAGUCGGAGUCGCUAGUAAUCGCAGAUCAGCAACGCUGCGGUGAAUACGUUCCCGGG